AGAGCGAACGCUGGCGGCAGGCCUAACACAUGCAAGUCGAACGGACCCUUCGGGGUUAGUGGCGGACGGGUGAGUAACACGUGGGAACGUGCCUUUUGGUUCGGAAUAGCUCCUGGAAACGGGUGGUAAUGCCGAAUGUGCCCUUCGGGGGAAAGAUUUAUCGCCAUUAGAGCGGCCCGCGUCUGAUUAGCUAGUUGGUGAGGUAAUGGCUCACCAAGGCGACGAUCAGUAGCUGGUCUGAGAGGAUGACCAGCCACAUUGGGACUGAGACACGGCCCAAACUCCUACGGGAGGCAGCAGUGGGGAAUCUUGCGCAAUGGGCGAAAGCCUGACGCAGCCAUGCCGCGUGAAUGAUGAAGGUCUUAGGAUUGUAAAAUUCUUUCACCGGGGACAUAAUGACGGUACCCGGAAGAAGAAGCCCCGGACUAACUUCGCGCCAGCAGCCGC
rnacentral:rRNA from 1 species